rnacentral:rRNA from 1 species
UUUAUGGAGAGUUUGAUCCUGGCUCAGGAUGAACGCUGGCGGCGUGCCUAAUACAUGCAAGUCGAGCGAACGGACGAGAAGCUUGCUUCUCUGAUGUUAGCGGCGGACGGGUGAGUAACACGUGGAUAACCUACCUAUAAGACUGGGAUAACUUCGGGAAACCGGAGCUAAUACCGGAUAAUAUUUUGAACCGCAUGGUUCAAAAGUGAAAGACGGUCUUGCUGUCACUUAUAGAUGGAUCCGCGCUGCAUUAGCUAGUUGGUAAGGUAACGGCUUACCAAGGCAACGAUGCAUAGCCGACCUGAGAGGGUGAUCGGCCACACUGGAACUGAGACACGGUCCAGACUCCUACGGGAGGCAGCAGUAGGGAAUCUUCCGCAAUGGGCGAAAGCCUGACGGAGCAACGCCGCGUGAGUGAUGAAGGUCUUCGGAUCGUAAAACUCUGUUAUUAGGGAAGAACAUAUGUGUAAGUAACUGUGCACAUCUUGACGGUACCUAAUCAGAAAGCCACGGCUAACUACGUGCCAGCAGCCGCGGUAAUACGUAGGUGGCAAGCGUUAUCCGGAAUUAUUGGGCGUAAAGCGCGCGUAGGCGGUUUUUUAAGUCUGAUGUGAAAGCCCACGGCUCAACCGUGGAGGGUCAUUGGAAACUGGAAAACUUGAGUGCAGAAGAGGAAAGUGGAAUUCCAUGUGUAGCGGUGAAAUGCGCAGAGAUAUGGAGGAACACCAGUGGCGAAGGCGACUUUCUGGUCUGUAACUGACGCUGAUGUGCGAAAGCGUGGGGAUCAAACAGGAUUAGAUACCCUGGUAGUCCACGCCGUAAACGAUGAGUGCUAAGUGUUAGGGGGUUUCCGCCCUUAGUGCUGCAGCUAACGCAUUAAGCACUCCGCCUGGGGAGUACGACCGCAAGGUUGAAACUCAAAGGAAUUGACGGGGACCCGCACAAGCGGUGGAGCAUGUGGUUUAAUUCGAAGCAACGCGAAGAACCUUACCAAAUCUUGACAUCCUUUGACAACUCUAGAGAUAGAGCCUUCCUCUUCGGGGACAAAGUGACAGGUGGUGCAUGGUUGUCGUCAGCUCGUGUCGUGAGAUGUUGGGUUAAGUCCCGCAACGAGCGCAACCCUUAAGCUUAGUUGCCAUCAUUAAGUUGGGCACUCUAAGUUGACUGCCGGUGACAAACCGGAGGAAGGUGGGGAUGACGUCAAAUCAUCAUGCCCCUUAUGAUUUGGGCUACACACGUGCUACAAUGGACAAUACAAAGGGCAGCGAAACCGCGAGGUCAAGCAAAUCCCAUAAAGUUGUUCUCAGUUCGGAUUGUAGUCUGCAACUCGACUACAUGAAGCUGGAAUCGCUAGUAAUCGUAGAUCAGCAUGCUACGGUGAAUACGUUCCCGGGUCUUGUACACACCGCCCGUCACACCACGAGAGUUUGUAACACCGAAGCCGGUGGAGUAACCUUUUAGGAGCUAGCCGUCGAAGGUGGGACAAAUGAUUGGGGUGAAGUCGUAACAAGGUAGCCGUAUCGGAAGGUGCGGCUGGAUCACCUCCUUUCU